UCAGAGCAGGCAAUUUUGCAUGUCUGGGCAUGUUCUGAGCCUUGAAAACAUUCUGAGUUCUGAACAUGGAAGCAGCCAGCACUCCUAUGAGUCCGGAGGAAUUAACUAAGCAGCGAACUGUAGAUAUGGAAGCAGCCUGCACUUCUAAGAGUCCUGAGGAAUUAACCAAACAGCUACCGGUAGAGGUCCCUAACCCUCAAAAGUACUAUAUUAGCACAAGUUCUGAUGAAGAUGAUGGUUUUCCACAUGCUAAAUUGCUAAAAGAGGGAGUGAUUGAGGUCAACAAAAGAUGGAUCAGCAUGUUGGAGAUGAUUGCCUCUGAUAACGCUGUAAUGCCGCAAUUGAAAACUCUGCUGAAGUUUAUCCACCACCAUCAGCUGUCUGGAAAUUGGAAAAAAUAGGAAGCAUUCAAAUGCAGAUUCUGCAGAUCUGACCUCAAACCAGCCCAGCCACCUCAUCCUUGGAUCCAUACUGUGCAUUCAAGCAGGUGAAAUGGACAAUAUGUUACCAAGAAAACGUAGGGGGACAAUGAAAGGCAUUGUCAGGGCAGCUGUUUAUGCCAUUUUAAAGCACUGUUUAAGGCAACACAUGCAGGAGUCCUGCCUCGGCUGUGUCAUUGAUGCCCCAGGGCAAACCUCCCACGAGUGUCUUUUCUGGACACAAAGUGACCUCUCUGGGAAGUUAUGUUUUAUUAGUAGCAAAAUCUGCUUUAAAAAUGUAUUCCAUGUUGUUAUCUUAACAACCUACAGCUUGAAUUGUGUUGUUCUAACACAUGAAACUGUUAAUGAGGUUUUAAAUCUUGUCACUGAGGUAUCUAGAUCCCAGAAGGCUGUAAAAACUGUUAAUGAGAUCCUGAAGAGCACUGAUCAGUCACUUUUAAAACAUGUUGAAAGUGUCAUCAGAAAUAGGGGGUAUAGAAGUUUUUUCAGCUCUCAAGUUUAGAGAACGAAAUCUGUCCUCUCUAGAAAAUUGAGAAUGUGUGCUCCAUGUUGUUAUCUUAACAGCUUGAAUUGUCUUGUUCUAACACUAAGACUAA